GACGAACGCUGGCGGCGUGCUUAACACAUGCAAGUCGAACGAAGUGGCGAACGGGUGAGUAACGCGUAAUAAACCUGCCCUUCAGAGGGGGACAACAGUUGGAAACGACUGCUAAUACCGCAUACUGAAGGAGGGGAUUGCGUCUGAUUAGCUAGUUGGAGGGGGAACGGCCCACCAAGGCGAUGAGCAGUAGCCGGUCUGAAAGGAUUGACGGCCACAUUGGGAAUGGGACACGGCCCAGACUCCUACGGGAGGCAGCAGUGGGGAAUCUUCCGCAAUGGACGAAAGUCUGAAGGAGCAACGCCGGGGGGGUGAAGACGGCCUUCGGGUUGUAAAGCUCUGUUAAUCGGGACGCGGUACCGGAAUAGAAAGCCACGGCUAACUACGUGCCAGCAGCCGCGGUAAUUC
rnacentral:rRNA from 1 species